UGAAGUAGAACCUGGAUCGGCAACUCCUCGAUGUUUUUGACCACCGCUAGGCGGCAGCACUAGCUACCGCUAAGCACGCGGGGGAGCGAGUGCUAUUCAAAACAAUGGUCGGCGCCGCGUCAUAGGAUCGUUUUACUUGUUUUUUGAAAAGUUCAGCUCCUUUGGAGCAGAUUAGAAGGUUUCAGAAGAUGGAGGAAGAUGGCAAGAUCAAAGAGAUGGGUUCAGUUUUCACGUCGUGCUGACUUGAUUGGCAUCUUGUGAUUUGUGAUGUGAUCAUUUCUCAUUUCAUCAUCGAGACCCUUGUGAGGAUGCAGGUGCACGCCCACUGCGGACACGUGACGGCAGCAGGCGGACCGGGUGUGAACUGGCUCAACCGAAAACUGUUUACGGCAUCACAGCGUGUGUAACCUGACAUACCUAUGGAUAUACCUAUUUAGCGCAUAAUGCGUUCGUGUGCAUUAUCGUGUUUGUAUUUAUUCCCCGAUAUACUGUGGUGGGAGAUGUGAAUUGGAAACAAACUUGGUGCUACGACACCGUUUAUAGUCAGUAGACAAUUCGGUCAUGCGACGGCAAAUAUAAGUUCAAUAUGGAAACAGUUUUUUUUUAACAAAACGUAUGGUAAGCUUAUAAUCCUGGAAUGCUUAUUGAAAGAAAUAUUAAGUGAUGUAGAUGUUCGUUAAUCGAUAUGACAGCAUUUGUCUUGUGAUUCUCGAAAUGGCUGUGGCAACGAUAUGGAUGUUUCACGGCGGACGGCACAUUCCCUGUGCCGGCGA